rnacentral:rRNA from 1 species
AUGAUCAAAUUGGUGUGUCACUCGUGCGGAAGUGGAAUGUACACUCUGACUGAUUCACAGUAUAAUGAAUUUGAGGACAUGCUACUCGCGUUGACAUUAGAGAGGAGUCAGAUAAAGGAGACCAUGGGAUUUGCGUUAGAUAACGCUGAUGCUGCUGGAGAGGUUAUGUAG